rnacentral:rRNA from 1 species
AUUGAACGCUGGCGGCAGGCCUAACACAUGCAAGUCGAGCGAGCGGCGGACGGGUGAGUAAUGUAUGGGGACUGCCCGAUAGAGGGGGAUAACUACUGGAAACGGUAGCUAAUACCGCAUACUAUCGGAUAACCCAUAUGGGAUUAGCUAGUAGGUGAGGUAAUGGCUCACCUAGGCGACGAUCCCUAGCUGGUCUGAGAGGAUGAUCAGCCCAACGUGAGAUGAGAAACGGCCCAGAUGCCAACGGAGGCAGCAGUGGGGAAUAUUGGACAAUGGGGUGAGGCCUAAUGAGGCAUGGCCGCGUGUAUGAAGAAGCCCCGAGGGUUGAAAAAUACGGGUAUUCGGGAGGCGUUACCGGCAGAAGAAGCACCGGCUAACUACGUGCCAGCAGCCGCGGUAAUAC